rnacentral:piRNA from 1 species
UCUUCAUGUAAGAUAGAGGCUGG